AAUCCAUGGUUUGGGCACUUCUUGAGCAUGGAUUUAAAUCGAUCCCAUGCUUCGCAUAGGCUUUCCCCAGAAGGCUGGAUAAAGGUGGAGAUUGCAGUUUUUAAAUC
rfam:Lupinus angustifolius cultivar Tanjil contig_50831, whole genome shotgun sequence.